rnacentral:rRNA from 1 species
AUUGAACGCUGGCGGCAGGCUUAACACAUGCAAGUCGAGCGGUAGCACAGGGGAGCUUGCUCCCUGGGUGACGAGCGGCGGACGGGUGAGUAAUGUCUGGGAAACUGCCUGAUGGAGGGGGAUAACUACUGGAAACGGUAGCUAAUACCGCAUAACGUCGCAAGACCAAAGAGGGGGACCUUCGGGCCUCUUGCCAUCAGAUGUGCCCAGAUGGGAUUAGCUAGUAGGUGGGGUAAUGGCUCACCUAGGCGACGAUCCCUAGCUGGUCUGAGAGGAUGACCAGCCACACUGGCACUGAGACACGGUCCAGACUCCUACGGGAGGCAGCAGUGGGGAGUAUUGCACAAUGGGCGCAAGCCUGAUGCAGCCAUGCCGCGUGUGUGAAGAAGGCCUUCGGGUUGUAAAGCACUUUCAGCGAGGAGGAAGGUGGUGAGCUUAAUACGUUCAUCAAUUGACGUUACUCGCAGAAGAAGCACCGGCUAACUCCGUG